rnacentral:rRNA from 1 species
CCUCCUACGGGAGGCAGCAGUAGGGAAUCUUCGGCAAUGGACGAAAGUCUGACCGAGCAACGCCGCGUGAGUGAAGAAGGUUUUCGGAUCGUAAAACUCUGUUGGUAGAGAAGAACGUUGGUGAGAGUGGAAAGCUCAUCAAGUGACGGUAACUACCCAGAAAGGGACGGCUAACUACGUGCCAGCAGCCGCGGUAAUACGUAGGUCCCGAGCGUUGUCCGGAUUUAUUGGGCGUAAAGCGAGCGCAGGUGGUUUAUUAAGUCUGGUGUAAAAGGCAGUGGCUCAACCAUUGUAUGCAUUGGAAACUGGUAGACUUGAGUGCAGGAGAGGAGAGUGGAAUUCCAUGUGUAGCGGUGAAAUGCGUAGAUAUAUGGAGGAACACCGGUGGCGAAAGCGGCUCUCUGGCCUGUAACUGACACUGAGGCUCGAAAGCGUGGGGAGCAAACAGGAUUAGAUACCCUGGUAGUCCACGCCGUAAACGAUGAGUGCUAGAUGUAGGGAGCUAUAAGUUCUCUGUAUCGCAGCUAACGCAAUAAGCACUCCGCCUGGGGAGUACGACCGCAAGGUUGAAACUCAAAGGAAUUGACGGGGGCCCGCACAAG